rnacentral:rRNA from 1 species
CAGAGCCGCGGGAAUACAGAGGGUGCGAGCGUUAAUCGGAUUUACUGGGCGUAAAGCGUGUGUAGGUUGUUGUUCAAGUCAGUUGUGAAAUCCCUGGGCUCAACCUGGGAACUGCUUCUGAGACUGAACGACUAGAGUACGGUAGAGGGUGGUGGAAUUUCCGGUGUAGCGGUGAAAUGCGUAGAUAUCGGAAGGAACAUCAAUGGCGAAGGCAGCCACCUGGGCCUGUACUGACACUGAGACACGAAAGCGUGGGGAGCAAACAGGAUUAGAUACCCCAGUAGUCCCUGUCUCUUAUACA